rnacentral:rRNA from 1 species
ACUCAAAGGAAUAGACGGGGGCCCGCACAAGCAGUGGAGCAUGUGGUUUAAUUCGAAGCAACGCGAAGAACCUUACCAGCCCUUGACAUGGUCGGACGGUUUCCAGAGAUGGAUUCCUUCACUUCGGUGACUGACACACAGGUGCUGCAUGGCUGUCGUCAGCUCGUGUCGUGAGAUGUUGGGUUAAGUCCCGCAACGAGCGCAACCCUCGCCUUUAGUUGCCAUCAUUUAGUUGGGCACUCUAGAGGGACUGCCGGUGAUAAGCCGGAGGAAGGUGGGGAUGACGUCAAGUCUUCAUGGCCCUUACGGGCUGGGCUACACACGUGCUACAAUGGUGGUGACAGAGGGCAGCUAGACCGCGAGGUCAUGCUAAUCCCUAAAAGCCAUCUCAGUUCGGAUUGCACUCUGCAACUCGAGUGCAUGAAGUUGGAAUUGCUAGUAAUCGCAGAUCAGCACGCUGCGGUGAAUACGUUCCCGGGCCUUGCACACACCGCCCGU